rnacentral:rRNA from 1 species
UACGUAGGCAGCAAGCGUUGUUCGGAGUUACUGGGCGUAAAGGGUGCGUAGGCGGCUUUUUAAGUUUGGUGUGAAAUCUCCCCGGCUCAACUGGGAGGGUGCGCCGAAUACUGAGAGGCUAGAGUGCGGGAGAGGAAAGUGGAAUUCCUGGUGUAGCGGUGAAAUGCGUAGAUAUCAGGAGGAACACCGGUGGUGUAAACGGCUUCUGGACCGUAACUGACGCUGAGGCACGAAAGCGUGGGGAGCAAACGGG